rnacentral:rRNA from 1 species
GACGAACGCUGGCGGCGUGCUUAACACAUGCAAGUCGAACGGAAAGGCCCUGCUUUUGUGGGGUGCUCGAGUGGCGAACGGGUGAGUAACACGUGAGUAGCCUGCCCUUGACUUUGGGAUAACUUCAGGAAACUGGGGCUAAUACCGGAUAGGAGCUCCUGCUGCAUGGUGGGGGUUGGAAAGUUUCGGCGGUUGGGGAUGGACUCGCGGCUUAUCAGCUUGUUGGUGGGGUAGUGGCUUACCAAGGCUUUGACGGGUAGCCGGCCUGAGAGGGUGACCGGCCACAUUGGGACUGAGAUACGGCCCAGACUCCUACGGGAGACAGCAGUGGGGAAUAUUGCACAAUGGGCGGAAGCCUGAUGCAGCAACGCCGCGUGCGGGAUGACGGCCUUCGGGUUGUAAACCGCUUUCGCCUGUGACGAAGCGUGAGUGACGGUAAUGGGUAAAGAAGCACCGGCUAACUACGUG